UUGCAAGGUCAACAGAUAAUGUUUGGACUGAAUGACCCAACGCUGUGAUAUAAUCAUGGUAUCCCUGGUUGUUGAACAAAUGCUAGUUAUGGAGGUAGUCAUAGUGCAUACUGCCGGUACCGCGACUGCCUGCCAGCCCAGUCCCGCCUGUGAGUGCGCCUGUCCGUUCUGACCAGCCCAGCACCAGUCUCAUAAGUGCGUAUAUGAAGACAACUAAUGAUGGGACAAUCUAAGUAAUCACAGGAGGAAAGC
rnacentral:lncRNA from 1 species